AGAGUUUGAUCAUGGCUCAGGAUGAACGCUGGCGGCGUGCCUAACACAUGCAAGUCGAGCGAUGAAACCGCCUCCGGGCGGACAUGAAGCGGCGAACGGGUGAGUAACACGUGACCGACCUGCCCCCCGCCCAGGGACAGCCCCCCGAAAGGGGGAUUAAUACCUGGUACUCCGGCAAGGACGCAUGUCCUGGCCGGGAAAGCCUUGGCGGCGGGGGAUGGGGUCGCGGCCCAUCAGGUAGACGGCGGGGCAGAGGCCCACCGUGCCGACGACGGGUAGCCGGGUUGAGAGACCGACCGGCCACAUUGGGACUGAGAUACGGCCCAG
rnacentral:rRNA from 1 species